rnacentral:tRNA from 1 species
GGUACGGUCGCCAAGUGGUAAGGUCCAGGUCUGCAAAACCUGUAUUCGGCGGUUCAAAUCCGCCCCGUACCUCCA